rnacentral:rRNA from 1 species
UGCAGUCGAGGGGCAGCAUCAUCAAAGCUUGCUUUGAUGGAUGGCGACCGGCGCACGGGUGAGUAACACGUAUCCAACCUGCCGACAACACUGGGAUAGCCUUUCGAAAGAAAGAUUAAUACCGGAUGGCAUAGUUUUCCCGCAUGGGAUAAUUAUUAAAGAAUUUCGGUUGUCGAUGGGGAUGCGUUCCAUUAGGCAGUUGGCGGGGUAACGGCCCACCAAACCUACGAUGGAUAGGGGUUCUGAGAGGAAGGUCCCCCACAUUGGAACUGAGACACGGUCCAAACUCCUACGGGAGGCAGCAGUGAGGAAUAUUGGUCAAUGGACGAGAGUCUGAACCAGCCAAGUAGCGUGAAGGAUGACUGCCCUAUGGGUUGUAAACUUCUUUUAUACGGGAAUAAAGUGAGCCACAUGUGGCUUUUUGUAUGUACCGUAUGAAUAAGGAUCGGCUAACUCCGUGCCAGCAGCCGCGGUAAUACGGAGGAUUCGAGCGUUAUCCGGAUUUAUUGGGUUUAAAGGGAGCGUAGGCGGGUUGUUAAGUCAGUUGUGAAAGUUUGCGGCUCAACCGUAAAAUUGCAGUUGAUACUGGCGACCUUGAGUGCAACAGAGGUAGGCGGAAUUCGUGGUGUAGCGGUGAAAUGCUUAGAUAUCACGAAGAACUCCGAUUGCGAAGGCAGCUUACUGGAUUGUAACUGACGCUGAUGCUCG